GAUGAACGCUAGCUACAGGCUUAACACAUGCAAGUCGAGGGGUAACGAGAGGAAAGCUUGCUUUCCUUGUCGACGACCGGCGCACGGGUGAGUAACGCGUAUCCAACCUGCCCCCAACUAGGGAAUAACCUUGCGAAAGUAAGACUAAUACCCUAUAAUUUCCUCAGAUGUCAUCUGACGAGGAAUAAAGAUUUAUCGGUUGUGGAUGGGGAUGCGUCUGAUUAGCUUGUUGGCGGGGUAACGGCCCACCAAGGCAACGAUCAGUAGGGGUUCUGCGAGGAAGGUCCGCCACAUUGGAACUGAGACACGGUCCAAACUCCUACGGGAGGCAGCAGUGAGGAAUAUUGGUCAAUGGGCGGAAGCUUGAACCAGCCAAGUAGCGUGCAGGAUGACGGCCCUAUGGGUUGUAAACUGCUUUUAUACAGGAAUAAAGUUAGCCACGUGUGGUUAUUUGUAGGUACUGUAUGAAUAAGGACCGGCUAAUUCCGUGCCAGCAGCCGCCGUAA
rnacentral:rRNA from 1 species